UCGCUCCAGCAGUCGUAGAACGAGAUAGCUAAAAUUGGAAUCUAUACAAAGAAGAUUAGCACAGCCACUGCCACCAGGAUGAUACACAAAUUUGUGAAGCGUUCCAUAUUACA
rnacentral:snRNA from 1 species